CGCCGCGUGCGGUGCGUGCCAGGCUGGAACCUACCUGAACAUGACGGCAGGGUCGGCGUGUGUGACGUGCCCAGCGAACCACGUCUCCGGACAGGCG
rnacentral:SRP_RNA from 1 species